rnacentral:misc_RNA from 1 species
UUAUAAUACGAAUAAAAAAACAAGGAAUCCAAGGCCCUAAAGGGAUAAUGCUGAAAGAGCUAAAAACAGUUUAUUAGUUUGGAGAGAUUAAUAUAAUAUAUAUAAUACAUCUCACCUAUAUAAUAUUAUAUUUAUAUAUAUUUGUGAUCAUAAUAUAGCUAGAUCAUAUUAUUUAUUAUUUUAUUUAUAAUUAAUAGAGACCAAUUGUUUUCUGAGGACCCUCUCCUGCAACAGCAUGAUCCAAUUUAUUGGUUUGUUUGUUGCCAUCCAGCUUGAGUCCAAAAUGGAUAUGAGGGAAAUGUGCCCAAUUUUUGGCAGCAG